UCUUGUUGUCCUAAUAUCUAAACCACAAUCCCAAAUGUACAAUAUUUCUCUACAAAAAUGAAAACUUUCCUAUAAUAGAAAUUUUGAGAAUUUUAUUUUUAAAAUACAACCUAAUGGUAAAAAAAAUCUAAAAGAAUACUCUUGUAUCAGCAAAAGUUUUUCUUAUCCUAGUUUAUAAAUCACAACCCCAAAUCUACAAUAUUUAUCGAUAAAAAUGAAAACUUUCCUAAAAUAGAAUUUUUGAAAAAUUUAUUUAAAAAAUACAAUAUUUUGAUUAAAAAAAUCAAACAAAAUACUCUUCUAUCAACAGAAAUUCUUGUUGUCCUAAUCUCUAAACCACAAUCCCAAAUGUACAAUAUUUCUCUACAAAAAUGAAAACUUUCCCAAAAUAGAAAUAUUGAGAAUUUUAUUUUUAAAAUACAACCUAUUGAUAAAAAAAUUUAAAAGAAUACUCUUCUAUCAGCAAAAGUUUUUCUUAUCCUAGUUUAUAAAUCACAACCCAAAAUCUACAAUAUUAAUCUAUAAAAAUGAAAUCUUUCCUAAAAUAGAAAUUUUGAGAAUUUUAUUUUUAAAAUAUAACCUAUUGAUAAAAAAAUUUAAAAGAAUACUCUUCUAUCAGAAAAAGUUUUUCUUAUCCUAGUUUAUAAAUCAUAACCCCAAAUCUACAAUAUUUAUCUAUAAAAAUUAACACUUUCCUAAAACAGAAUUUUUGAAAAAUUUAUUUAAAAAAUACAAUAUUUUGAUUAAAAAAAAUCAAACAAAAUACUCUUCUAUCAACAGAAAUUCUUGUUGUCCUAAUUUCUAAACCACAAUCCCAAAUGUACAAUAUUUCUCUACAAAAAUGAAAACUUUCCUAAAAUAAAUUUUUUUUAAACUUUAUUUAAAAAAUAAAAUAUAUUGAUUAAAAAAUCAAACAAAAUACUCUUCUAUCACCAGAAAUUCUUGUUGUCCUAAUCUCUAAACCACAAUCUCAAAUGUACAAUAUUUCUAUACAAAAAUGAAAACUUUCCUAAAAUAGAAUUUUUGAAAACUUUAUUUAAAAAAUACAAUGUAUUGAUAAAAUAUCAGACAAAAUACUCUUCUAUCAACAAAAAUUCUUGUUGUCCUAAUCUCUAAACCACAAUUCCAAAUGUACAAUAUUUCUCUACAAAAAUAAAAACUUUUCUAAAAUAGAAUUUUUGAAAAUUUUAUUUAAAAAAUACAAUAUAUUGAUUAAAAAAAUCAAACAAAAUACUCUUCUAUCAACAAAAAUUCUUGUUGUCCUAAUCUCUAAACCACAAUCCCAAAUGUACAAUAUUUCUCUACAAAAAUGAAAACUUUCCUAAAAUAGAAUUUUUGAGAAUUUUAUUUUUAAAAUACAACCUAUUGAUAAAAAAAUCUAAAAGAAUAGUCUUCUAUCAAAAAAAGUUUUUCUUAUCCUAGUUUAUAAAUCACAACCCCAAAUCUACAAUAUUUCUCUACAAAAAUGAAAACUUUCCUAAAAUAGAAUUUUUGAGAAUUUUAUUUUUAAAAUACAUCAUAUUGAUAAAAAAAUCUAAAAGAAUACUCUUCUAUCAACAAAAGUUUUUCUUAUCCUAAUUUAUAAAUCACAACCCAGAGUCUACAAUAUUUAAUUAUAAAAAUGAAAACUUUCCUAAAAUAGAAUUUUUGAAAAUUUUAUUUAAAAAAUACAAUAUAUUGAUAAAAAAUCAAACAAAAAUACUAUUCUAUCAACAAAAAUUCUUGUUGUCCUAAUCUCUAAACCACAAUCCCAAAUGUACAAUAUUUCUCUACAAAAAAUGAAAACUUUCCUAAAAUAGAAUUUUUGAGAAUUUUAUUUUUAAAAUACAACCUAUUGAUAAAAAAAUCUAAAAGAAUACUCUUCUAUCAACAAAAGUUUUUCUUAUCCUAGUUUAUAAAUCACAACCCCAAAUCUACAAUAUUUAUCUAUAAAAAUGAAAACUUUCCUAAAAUAGAAUUUUUGAAAAAUUUAUUUAAAAAAUACAAUAUAUUGAUAAAAAAAUCAAACAAAAUACUCUUCUAUGAACAAAAAUUCUUGUUGUCCUAAUCUCUAAACCACAAUCCCAAAUGUACAAUAUUUCUCUACAAAAAUGAAAACUUUCCUAAAAUAGAAUUUUUGAAAAAUUUAUUUAAAAAAUACAAUAUAUUGAUAAAAAAAUCAAACAAAAUACUCUUCUAUCAACAAAAAUUCUUGUUGUCCUAAUCUCUAAACC
rnacentral:lncRNA from 1 species